rnacentral:rRNA from 1 species
CCUCCAGGAGGUUGUUAAGCAGACAUGCUGAUGCAUUAAGGCAAACUGCAUACUGCUAUUCGCACAUCGACAUCUUGAACGCAUAUUGCGGCCAUGGGUUAGCCUGUGGCCACGCCUGUCCGAGGGUCG